CCUACGGGUGGCAGCAGUGAGGAAUAUUGGUCAAUGGGCGGAAGCCUGAACCAGCCAAGUAGCGUGCAGGAUGACGGCCCUACGGGUUGUAAACUGCUUUUAUACGGGAAUAACGCGCCUUACGUGUAGGGCUUUGCAUGUACCGUAUGAAUAAGGACCGGCUAAUUCCGUGCCAGCAGCCGCGGUAAUACGGAAGGUCCGGGCGUUAUCCGGAUUUAUUGGGUUUAAAGGGAGCGUAGGCGGGUUGUCAAGCGUGUUGUGAAAUGUCCGGGCUCAACCCGGGACUUGCAGCGAGUACUGGCGUGCUUGAGUCCGCGGAAGGCAGGCGGAAUUCGUCGUGUAGCGGUGAAAUGCUUAGAUAUGACGAAGAACCCCGAUUGCGAAGGCAGCCUGCUGCAGCGGAACUGACGCUGAUGCUCGAAAGCGCGGGUAUCGAACAGGAUUAGAUACCCGGGUAGUC
rnacentral:rRNA from 1 species